CCCAUUGGCUAGUCGGCACUUGUGCUACUUGGUGCCUUGCCAAAGCAAGGAUAGGUGUCGAGAAGAUGCUUGGUCCUAAAAGGAGACCCGUUAAAGGAGAGGACCGUGCUUCCAAUUCACCGAUUUUCAUGAAAUACACAUAUAAAGUUCUAAAUGUUCAAUGAUUACAUUCUCUGACCACGUACUGUUUCUUGGUAUGUGUUUGUAAGUUACUGAGUAGUCUAAGUGAGUGGGUUGCCUAAUAAAUGUUUGCCUGAAAUGUAAUAGUCUGAGAGAUGUGAGGAUGGUAUUUUUGCGCCUGAUAUAUGUCUGAUAUUGCCUCUGAUAUAGCCUAUGUCUGAUAUAUAUCAGACACCAAAAUACCAUCCUGACCUCUCUCAGGUGUAGCCUAUAUAUUGCGUCUGAUAAAGGCUUUCAUGAGAUACAGUAGCAUAUAGUGCUCCUGCAUUUAACUCAAACUUCUGUAUCUAGCCUACCAUUACAUUAGAAAUAGCCGAAUGCAAUAGAAGUAGCCUAUCAGAAGUUAAAAUGAACCAUUAUUAUACGUUAUGGCUUUGUACAAAAUAAAUUAUGAACAAUUAUGGCAUACAAUUGAAUGCAGGAUAUGCAUCUGUAAGUGAAAAUGAUUGUUAAACCUUAUUGAAAAUUGAAAGUCCUCUCGUUGCAACACAUUUGUCUAUAUGCUACAUAGGCUUUCUAAAUCUAUCGUGUGCUGUAUGAAAGGUGCUAUACAAAUAAAGUUAGGACUAUUAUUAGUAUUGUAUUAGGCUGAUUCAGGCAUAUUAUCAGACAACUUAGCCUAUGUUCAAUCACAGUGUUGGGAUGGUCAAUUUUCUUACAAUAUAAUCUUAUUUCCGAACAGGCUACAUCACGGUUUCUUUCAGUCAAUUUAGGCAAAUGCCUAUUAGUAGACUAUUUCUGACUGACAAGAUUGUUGUUGAUACUUCUGGUUAUGAUGAUUAUGAAUACGUGUAGGCUUCACAUUUGCAAAUACAUGAUAAAAUUGCUUUUCAUAGAGUUACAGCAAAGGAAACCCAAGCACGAGGGAUUUUAAUCAUUGAUAUAUAAAAUAUAACAUAGGCUAUCCUGUAUGAGCGUUGAGACCUCUCUCUUAAUUUAGAAAAUCCCGAACUAUGAUGAGCUAUUGUUUAACUUACUGGUUCAUGAUUCGAGGCUAUAACAACAUUCAUGGACUGUAUUGAAAAUUGUUAAACUAUAUCAUGAUAGUAUAGGUCUUAAUUAAAUGUUUCUGCCCCAAAAAUAAAAACUCAAGGCACUUUAAUUAUAGGUAUAUCCUAAUCUACAAUUUGUACAUAAUAUCACAAAUGCCUGAGUGAAUGGUGUUUUAUUUGAAGACAAAGCAUAUCUAUGAAGUAUAUAGCCUAAAGUGGCCCCUAUGUGCUCCUAUAAGUUUCUAGUCUGAGCAUUUUUAGCUGGUACUUUCAAAAUCACCAGGGUCUGUCAAAGUUGGGUCCUGUGAAAAAUGUACACAGCUAAAUGGAGCAUAUGCUGUCAAUACAGCAGGCAGGAUCUAUUACAGUAUCUGAGUGCCCCCUAGCGUAUGUAUCGUUUCUGCCUCAAAUCAAGAUUCAAUUCGGAGGAGCCUUCCGACAUGGAAACUGCCUGGGUCUCUCGUCUCUCACAGUGACCAAAGUAGCGUGCGCCCAUUUCUAACUGAUUAAUGUUUAAGAAAAUGUCUUCUUAUUGACUUGGACUCAUCGAGGUAUGCGUGUUGGUCACGGUUUCGCCUUUUCAUAAACAUAGCCUGAGCUCCGUAGGCUCCGUAGGCACAGGUAUGUUUUGAAUUUACAUUGAUUGAUAUAGGCUGAUAAUUGGUCUUGAGCGUAACACUUUCAUUCUAAAGCAAACUGCAUGGCCUAAAUAAUAUCACUGUCUGCAAUUUAUUGUAUUAUUUUGUUGUGGAUUCUACUUGACCACUCCAUUGGUGAGUAUGAACAUUUUGGCAUAUUUGUUUCAUUAAUGAAAUGUUUGAAUGUGAAAACAUGCUUGGCAUUAGGCAAUUGUCUCGGUCGUAAAUAAAACGACUAUCAAAAUGGAUACAUCAAAAAGCUGUUUAGUCAUAAAACACACUUUGAGCAUAAAACAUCACAAAAACCUCAUGAACCUUACCAGGCGCAGGCAUAAAGAUACAAUAACGCAUAACAUGCUAAUUAUUGUCUAAUUAAAUGUUAAUUGGAAUACAUAUUGAGCAGAAACACAUUAUGUAUACUCCUAAAGGCACCUAUAUGUGUUUAAAAAUAUAUAUUGUGAGAUUAUUGUAGACAAUAAUGUAUAGGCUAUUCUCACAAACGUACCAAAUGCAUAGGUCGAUUCGUCCGCAGAGUGAUGCAUCUUCUGUCUUAUCAGAAUAUACUAGUCUUCUCUUUCUUUUCGAUAUAAUGUCGAGAAUAGACGGGAAAGGUGUCCUUUCCACCAGAUGGAAUGAAUCACAAAAAUACUUGAGUUUAUUUGAAGAACAAUAAGCAAAAAACGUAAGACUGACAAAGGAUUAAUCACAGUCACUACAUUUUUUAACUUAUGUGCUGAACUUAAACCUUGUAAUGCAAAUGGUCUUGUCUUCAUAACAUAAGUAGCGGUUGUUAUGGCUGUCUUUAAAAAUGACAAAAGUAAAACAGCAAGAAAAUGCUCCUGUGCGUCUUUCCUUUCUGUCCUACUGUAGGCUAGGUUAUGGGUUGAAACGCGCCUGUAUGCCGCUGCUUUUUGUGGGCUGGAUGGGAGGGGUGAAGUCAGACUACAUAUAGUCAGACACCUGUCUGUUUGUAUUGAAACUAGGGAUGCUUUUAUACAUUAUCGCUUAAUUUGUGUUAGAAUCAUGAAUCAAUUUGACAACAAUAUAUUAUGAAUCGAUGAGCUGACAGAAGUGGAUAACCAAAACUUGUAAAUGUGAUAUAGCAAAAUGGCAAUUAAACACAUAUGUUGAAAGCUAAAUUAAUUAAUUAAAUGAAACAUAAAUAAAUAUCAGUUUUAGAUGGCAGAUGCGGUGACACAAAAACUAUUAUUAGGCUAUAAUUAUUAUUACAGCAAUGAUAUCGGUAACAAUUGCAAUUAUUGGUAGACCAAUUAUUGCUGUUUUAAUAUUAUGACUAUUACUAUUUUGUUGUUGCGGCUGACAAAACACUAACUGUUGUUAUUGAACAGGGGAAGGAGAGGAUUGCUUCCAAAUAGGCGCAUUUCAAUUGACAGAUAUAGCUUCUCUGAUAGUAGGUUCUCGUCCUCAUAUGUCUACAAAUGUACUUCCAUUAACACACAGAGAGAAAAACAGGGAGGGGAGGGGGGGAAAAGGGGGAAAGAGUGUGAUGUGACAUGACCUCUACAGACAGAGAGAGAGAGAGAGAAAGAGAGAGAGACUAGAUGGUUGUAGAUAUGCAGUUUUUGAUCCUAAAACGGUGAAGUUUACGUUUUCAUAUGGCCUUAUUUGCCCUUCACGCAUUCAUAUAUAAACCGUUACUUUUGUAGAUCAGCCGGGAUAGGCCUAUAGGCUCAUGUCUGGACAACGAAAGUUGUAAAGAAAUACAACUAGUGGGCCAACAUUCUAUGUUGAAAAGUAGGCUACUAAAAUCUUUGUCCUAUGCCUUUUCACAUUCUCUGGUUAAAUGUAGGCCCUAUGUCUGUGAAGAAUCAAUGAUAGAGUUACAAAAAGCAUUUUCUUUCUCUGUGCUGGUGCACUUCUUGGGUAAAAUGCUCUUCUCAAGACAGAAUCUCAAGCAUAUAGGCACAGGAAGCCACUAUACGCAAUAGCGCACCUACAUCGAUUAGGACGAGACUCGAGGAUGACGCUGACUCGCCACACUAAAUAGUUACUGAUCACACACAAAUUGCAGGAUCUUUAACGAUUUGUCAUGCUCAUAGCACGGAAAAGCGGUAAAUCACUUUAUUAUUGUUUGUAAAACAAUGCGCGCACAGAUGAGCGCAGUUCGAUAGAGAGUGAAUGGCCGAGUCAGUGGUUGAGAUUCAUGGUCGUCCUUUGAAAAAGCUUUCACUCGUGUUACAGGUUAAACUAACAUAUUAAACAACAGUACACCUUUUGUUCACUAAAACCAUGUGUAGUCAAUGAAUUGACGGACAUUUUGAAAAAUGUGUCGCUUACAACCCUACUUGUUGACGGAGCUGCACUCAAACACAAAAGUAUAUGCAUUACCUCCUAAUUUAACUAUAUUUUAUAGAAAAGGGGAAUCUAUUCUGAAUAAUAAUGUAGGCUUUAAGGAGUCGGCAUUACUGGAAUAGUGGGAUCAGGCAGGGGCAGGUUAGCCUCCGUGCAUUGGGGAGAGGCGGCAAGACAAGGAUGAAAGUUCACUUUAAUCUUAUCUUUGCCUUCAGCAAGUCCUUCAGAGGGAUACUGACCUGAAGGUCUCUGAAAUCCCAGCCUGAUUAACCCCUCCAGACCCGACUGGGUGCAAAGGUUAACCAGGCUAAUCAAGUUGAAGAGGCUGAUUGAAUUAGAUGACAAGGAGUCAAGGGGGAAACAACUGUCCUUCCCCAAAAAAGUCAGAGGCCAACCACUGGCAACACUUUAGUCUGUGUGAAUCUCACUCUAUAAUUUAUAGGCCUAUCAGCAAUCCAUAAAGUUGAAUAAACAAAUGUCCAGUUGAAUCUCCACAAUAAUUAUGCUAGUGGUGAAGUAUUUACUUGGAAGUUAUUAAUUAAAAUGUAUGCAUAGUCAUAGGUCUGUAUUACAGAAACAAGUAAUAUUUGUUUUGUAGAUAGUGGAGUUCCUUAUGUUCUCUUCACCUAAUUUCUGAGCAUACUAUCUCCUAGUGUAAUUUUUUAUUUAACUACGCAAGUCAAUUAUGAACAAAUUUGUAUGUACAAUGUACUACCUACACCAUCCAAAUUGUACACCACCCUAUGGGACACCCAAUCACAGCCAGUUGUGAUACAGCCUGGAUUUGAACCAGGGUAUCUGUUGUGAUGCCUCUAGCACUGAGAUGCAGUGCUUUAGACCACUGCUCCACUCGGGAGCCCUGUGUUCUAAUGCAAUUUGUCCUGGGAUCUUGUAUUUUUCCCUCGGCCCUCAUUUCACUCCAACAGAAUUGACAUUGAUUCAAUGGCUCUCUUCAGUGAAGCAGUUUGACAGGUGGACAGACAGCCCUCACAAAUGAGCUCUAAUAAUCUGUGACAGGAUAGGAGCUCUAGUGGCCCUGCCCUUUAUUGGUCUUUCUUCUUGAGUGACAUGUCAACUGUCCUUAAAAACAAACAUGUACAUUUCUCAACUUUCUCUUAAAAACAUAGUCAUGCAGUCUCACAUAUGAUUCUAAUCCCACUAUGAUAACGUUUAUAAUGGACCGUUCAAGUGGGGACGUUAUGUCAAAUUUAUGCUUCUCAGACUCAUUUUCAGAACAUUAACUUUGAAGAUAAAUUAGUACAUGAAAACAUGAAACAUGAAGUCCUGACGCUUUUGCUAUACAUAGAGUGCAGCAUGAGAGCACAUUGUUCUGUGAAGAACGGCUCUGCCUCCGUCUCCAUAAUUCCCAAAGCAGCAGAGUUGUCUUAAUGCUGAAGGUAAUGUUGUUGAACAAAUUACAACAUAUUUGGGCAUCAAGCCAGACUUCUUUGCGGAUAAAAACAUGAUUUUAUUUAAUUUGGUUGUAACUGUAUUAUAGGCUUUUGAAUAGUUACAAAGAUUAGAGGAAUUACUUUCAGGGAUUCUUAGUGUGACUUUUACAUAUAUACUGUAGAACUUGAUGCUACUGUAGUACUUUAAAGUAAACUUAGUCAAUAGUAUCAAACUAUUAUAAUCUAUACAAAUAAGGUUGCAGUGUCUCAUAAUGCUAUGCUACUUCAAUUAUUUAUUGAAAUGUUGCACUUAUUUAUUAUGCAUAUUUGAGAUACACAAUCUACUUGCAGUGUCAUUAUAUUUGUCCGGGUUUCUACCAUUUGUAAAUGUUUUUCUACAUUAAGCAUGAUUACAAAUUAUCAUUUUGAUUACAUUGAUUAUGAAUAUGUGUACUUUGUUAAGGCAUCUUGUGUGCAUAGCAAUGUCAUAUAUACACCAACAUCUUAAACAUGACUGAUCUCAUGAAUUUAGCAUUAAAACAGUGUUUACUGCAGUUCAUAAAUAGUUUGUUCUUGAAUAUUCAUUGUUUAAUAGUCAGCAGAUUAUUUGUCCAUCUUUAAUAAAACAAAUCAGAUUAAAGUAAAACUUCUGUUGCUUUUAGGUGAAAGAGGAGAUUGUGGGUUAAACACAUGCCAAAAUGGCAAAGAAGUGGGCAAAAUGAAAGGCGUUAAAGGCUUCCAGCACUGCUGCACCAUAUAGUGGUGACCUCCAGUUGACAGAUCUGCUCCUGGCUUUCCUGAGUGUCAGACUGCUGAGACAUGAAGAAGACCAUCUUGCUGACUCACGAUCCACCUCAUCACAGAGGUCCCCCUUUGGCCUUCAGCUCAUCAAUUCAAUUUAUAUGUUCAUUUCAAUAAAGCCAAAAUGGAAAAUUA